rnacentral:lncRNA from 1 species
CCUUUGGAUGUUCACAGAUGAGGGAAGGAAUCAUAAUUGGCUAACAAGAGGAGAUACAUUUGACUAUGUUAAGAGAACUGGAGGACCUCCACCAAGAUCUUGUGAUUGACAUCAUGUCUGGAUGCAGCUGCUUAUAAUCCACAGCCUCUGAAUAUAAAGACAGGUUAUGUCCCCGAAACACAAAAGAUACAAUGAUGAAGAGGAAUAAAACGACUACAACAAACACUUCCACUCAAAAAAGGGACAUAACAGAAGGGCCUUCAGAUAAGGUUCAAAUUGUCCAACAUGGUCUACAAAGCUCUCUACUGUUCCAGGAGCACUCAAGGGGGAAGGACAGGAAAUCCAGGUGCUGAUCAGAAACCCACAAAUAUCUGCCAGGCUGGCAACAGACCCUAAAGAGAGGAGCCUGGGAGGUAGGCAAUAUUAUCGCUAUGUUACUGAAGAUACAACUGAGGCGUAUCUCAAGCUACUUAUGCCAGCUCUUAUUGCCUGUGAGGAUCAAGCCAAAAUCAAACAGAUUAACAAAAAACAGUUGAGGAGCAAGCUAAAUUCCUACAGGCAAUAGUGGGACCAGAGCUCAUAGGCUGGCACCAAUAGUACAGUUUGGUCCCAAGGAGAAGCAGCAAGGCCAUGCAGGGAAUCACAUAAACAGAUCAGAAACUGAAGUUUGGCUUGCUGACGUGACUUGCUCAAGGUCACAUAGCUACGAAUUGUAGACCUAGAACUAAAAACAUCCUGGCUCCUUGUCUAGUUUUUAUUGCUCUAUCCCAGGUUGUCUAGCUUAACUAACUCUUGCUUCAUGGAGCUUGUAGGAAAGGAUGCCCUGCAAAUGCAGGACGUAAGCAUCUGGGGAAUAUAUCCAAUCAUUCUUGCAUUAAACCCCAAUACUUCCUCUAAUCGUGUCAUCUAUGUGAGCAGUCAUUUCUUUGGUGUGCAGGAGUGUGUGUGUGUGUGUGUGUGUGUAAUGAUGUUAUCUAUAUGCCAUCGGGGCACCUGCACAUUUGCAUAUGGGGAAAGAACUGAAUAAAACAUGAAGUGUUUUAUUCCAAUGGGAUGCAAGAUCCUCAAAGGAUAUUUACAAAUGUACUCAAGUGCCUCAGAAUCAAUCAAUCUCUGAAUCAACAAAUGUUCUUUGAUUCCUUGGUAUGUGCCUAGCACUAUGAUAAUGCUGUAGGGGAAACAAUGAAGCAAAGAAAGAAAGAGGCACCCCCACCACCACCUUGGAAGCCUCAAUUUAGAUAAGAGAAAAUAAUUGGAUUCAUGGUGGUCUCUAGCCGGCGCCUACAGAGCACAACAUUCCCUGAGUUCCCUCCAAAGGGCUCCAGUUGGACAGAGAGGAGGGGCAGGAAAAGCUGCUGAAGUUCAGUGAACUACAUCCUAGUGACCAUUCAU